rnacentral:rRNA from 1 species
AGUCGAGGGGUAUGGAAGCUUGCUUCCUAGAGACCGGCGCACGGGUGCGUAACGCGUAUGCAAUCUACCUUUUGCAGAGGGAUAGCCCAGAGAAAUUUGGAUUAAUACCUCAUAGUAUGUGAGAAUGGCAUCAUUUUCACAUUAAAGUCACAACGGCAAAAGAUGAGCAUGCGUCCCAUUAGCUUGUUGGUAAGGUAACGGCUUACCAAGGCAACGAUGGGUAGGGGUCCUGAGAGGGAGAUCCCCCACACUGGUACUGAGACACGGACCAGACUCCUACGGGAGGCAGCAGUGAGGAAUAUUGGACAAUGGGCGCAAGCCUGAUCCAGCCAUGCCGCGUGCAGGAUGACGGUCCUAUGGAUUGUAAACUGCUUUUGUACAGGAAGAAACACUGGUUCGUGAACCAGCUUGACGGUACUGUAAGAAUAAGGAUCGGCUAACUCCGUGCCAGCAGCCGCGGUAAUACGGAGGAUCCAAGCGUUAUCCGGAAUCAUUGGGUUUAAAGGGUCCGUAGGCGGUUUAGUAAGUCAGUGGUGAAAGCCCAUCGCUCAACGGUGGAACGGCCAUUGAUACUGCUAGACUUGAAUUAUUAGGAAGUAACUAGAAUAUGUAGUGUAGCGGUGAAAUGCUUAGAGAUUACAUGGAAUACCAAUUGCGAAGGCAGGUUACUACUAAUGGAUUGACGCUGAUGGACGAAAGCGUGGGUAGCGAACAGGAUUAGAUACCCUGGUAGUCCACGCCGUAAACGAUGGAUACUA